GGCGGCGCCGGGUGCGCGGCGAGCGGACUGCUCUCCCCACGCAAGCCGCCCCCUCGCGGCACCCACUCCCCGCCGGCGCUCGAGUCGGUGCGAAGCCGCAGACUCACUGGCGACUCGACUGCUGUUCUUCAUGAUAUAUGGUACAUAUACCUGGUCUGGAUUCAGGAGAAAUGGAAGCAAUUGGAGCCAUGCUGUUCUAUUUUCUCAACAGCCAACAACUCAACGAUAACAGUACCAAUGAUAUGCAUUUGAGAAAGUGAAGCCUGAAAGAUAAAUUAUCCAGAGUUACACAGAGUUAUAGGUCCACAGGUUGACAUUAUCCUCUUGAAGAAAUGGAACAAUACUCCCCAGGUGGUUACUUGACGACAACAGAAGCAUUAGAAGACUCUCCAAAGCAAUUUAAAAGUUAUCCUUUUCUGGGGAUUCACUCAAAUGGUCUGCAAAAUAAAAAUUCCUGACUGCAAAGAUCCAAAAUUACUAAUUGAAGGAUGUUUUGGUGUGAUGUGUCCUAUAACCCAUCCCAAGCAGUUGUUGGAUGAGUUUUCAUCUGUGUGAGACCUCUUUGGGAACGUAAUAUCCAAAGAUAGCUGCUAUCAAUUCCUUCCUCCUGGAAUAUACAAGUUCUUCCUCACGUCAAAAGGAAAGACAGUAAACAUUUCAAGAGAAAUUAUUUGCCUACACAGUACCAGAACUAGCCUGAUUUAAAAGUGAUGUCACAGGCAAUAAUCAUCCCUGCUAGCUUACAUCACCCACCAUACGAAUGGGAAAUAACUCAGCUCACCCGAGCAGCUAUAUUCAUGAUCCUCCUCAAUGUCAAACCAUAUCUGCUCUCUAUUGUUUGAGAGUUAUCUUGACCUCUGAUACAUAGCAUCCAUUCACUUUAUUUCUGGUCAUCAAGAGAGUGUGACUGCUGGUUCAUCGCUGAGCUCAAACCAGACAACACAUCCAGAAGCUUCUCCUCACCCAUCCCACACCCUGGAAAUAUAUGUUCUGUCCACCAUUCCCAUACCAGAAGCUAUUUUCAAGGAUGCAACUUUGAGAGAAAAAAAGAAGAGGCCAGAGGGCCAGUUUGCUCUCUUUCUACCAUGUGAGGAUACAACAGGAAGUCAGCAGUCUGCAAUCCAGAAGAAGGCCUUCACCAGAACCUGAUCAUACUAAAACCCUGAUCUCUACUUCCAGCCUCUAGAACUCUUUUGGUGAUGAGGACUGGGAUCCGAAGCACACCUCUAAUACCCUACAGGAUAGCAAGAUACACAGAUCAAAAGGAUGACUUAUUCCUGACCUUAGGAAUAUUACAGCUUAAUGGAAAAGACAUGCCAACAGAACUGUGAGAUCAGACUGGUAAUUGUGAAUCAGAGCUCAUGACCUGAAAUGGGUAAGGUGAUCUGAAUUGAGAUGUUUAAAUCGCAAGACAGAACAAUUGAAAUGAGGCUGACGUUACGUGGAUAUUCUUGUCCUUUGACCCUUGUUAGCUUCGGCUAACUGGCAUCGGCAUGAAAUAUGAGGUUAAGAGAAUAAAGAUUGGCCUACUGGAAGACAGGGGGCCCCACAGAAAAUAGAUGUGCUCUAGGGGCAAUGAACCAGUCCUCCACUACACUAGACACUGACUGCAGGUACAAGAGUGAGCCCAGCUGAGAGCAUCUGCGCCUGACACAGACCAGCAGUACAAAGAUCUGAGCCCAA